rnacentral:rRNA from 1 species
AUUUGAAAUCUGGCGUCUUCGACGUCCGAGUUGUAAUUUGAAGAAGGCGACUUUGUAGCUGGUCCUUGUCUAUGUUCCUUGGAACAGGACGUCAUAGAGGGUGAGAAUCCCGUGUGGCGAGGAUCCCAGUUAUUUGUAAAGUGCUUUCGACGAGUCGAGUUGUUUGGGAAUGCAGCUCUAAGUGGGUGGUAAAUUCCAUCUAAAGCUAAAUAUUGGCGAGAGACCGAUAGCGAACAAGUACAGUGAUGGAAAGAUGAAAAGAACUUUGAAAAGAGAGUGAAAAAGUACGUGAAAUUGUUGAAAGGGAAGGGCAUUUGAUCAGACAUGGCGUUUGCUUCGGCUUUCGCUGGGCCAGCAUCAGUUUUAGCGGUUGGAUAAAUCCUCGGGAAUGUGGCUCUGCUUCGGUAGAGUGUUAUAGCCCGUGGGAAUACAGCCAGCUGGGACUGAGGAUUGCGACUUUUGUCAAGGAUGCUGGCGUAAUGGUUAAAUGCCGCCCGUCUUGAACCACGG